rnacentral:rRNA from 1 species
GAUGAACGCUAGCUACGGGCUUAACACAUGCAAGUCGAGGGGCAGCGGUAUCGAAAGCUUGCUUUCGGUAGCCGGCGACCGGCGCACGGGUGAGUAACGCGUAUCGAACCUGCCUCAUACUCGGGAAUAGCCUUGCGAAAGUAAGAUUAAUGCCCGGUGUUUUCAGAGUCCUGCAUGAGGCUUUGAACAAAGAUUUAUCGGUAUGAGAUGGCGAUGCGUCCCAUUAGCUUGUUGGCGGGGUAACGGCCCACCAAGGCAUCGAUGGGUAGGGGUUCUGAGAGGAAGGUCCCCCACAUUGGAACUGAGACACGGUCCAAACUCCUACGGGAGGCAGCAGUGAGGAAUAUUGGUCAAUGGGCGGAAGCCUGAACCAGCCAAGUAGCGUGCAGGAAGACGGCCCUCCGGGUUGUAAACUGCUUUUAGUUGGGAAUAAAACGGGGCUCGUGAGCCCCCUUGCAUGUACCAUCAGAAAAAGGACCGGCUAAUUCCGUGCCAGCCGCCGCGGUAA